UGAACAUGGGAGGGGCAGAGAGAGGGGGAGACACAGUAUCUGAAGCAGGCUUCAGGUUCUGAGCUGGCAGCACAGAGCCCGACGCGUCGCGGGGCUCGAACUCACAAGCAGUGAGAUCAUGACCUGAGCCGAAGUUGGAUGCUUAACCGACUGAGCCACCCAGGCGCCCCUAUUGUUCUUUAUUUUUAAAGUUUAUUGAUUUAUUUUGAGAGAUUGAGAGUGAGAGAGCGAGAGAGUGAGAGAGAGAAUCCCAAGCAGGCUUUGCCCAGUGAGGACGUGGGCUUGAACUCAAGAGCCAAGAGCUGGACCCUUAACCAACUGAGCCACCCAGGCACCCCAAGCAUCAAUUGUUCUUAUGGAAUCACACAACAAAUGUCAAGUGGUUGUAAUGGGACUUGGGAGCAACUGGGCUUUUGGUUUCUCUUUUUAUGAACUUGAGUGGCAAGAGUUGCCCAUAAAUAAGUGGGGUGAAAGGUGUGUCCCAGACAACUAAACCUGACCUGUUUGGGAUAUAGUUGCUCGCUUGAUGACUCUGUGAGUAUACAGGGACUCUGUGUCUGUCUUACUAUUAUAUCCCCAUGUCUAAUACAGGGCUUGGUGUGUCAUAAGUAUUCAAAUAAUAGUUUUUGAAUGGAAUACUGAAUGUCGAAUGAAUUGGGUGAACAAUAAUAGCUAGUUUUGUAGGCACAGGUAACGGAUUUCCAGGUCCACACCAUUUCCUUCUUUUCUUUUUAAUUAAUGUUAGCCUGAAGUCAUGAUCACAGAGAACAUUUUACCCUGGUGACCAGUACUGUAACUGUGGGCUAUGUGUUUUAAUUCAAUUUUAAGUUUCAAACUGAUUUUUCUUAAAUUCUGAGCCCGUUAUUAAUUUGUUCACCUCCUGUAAGUCUAAAAAGAAUGGCUCUGGGGCUUUAUUAUACAGCGUAUUUUUUCACUAUAGUUCAUUGCACCAGGCAAUGAACUAGAAAUACAAAAGACUAUGAAUUAUAAUUUUCAUACUCUCGCUAACUCACUGUGUGACCUUGGGCUAGUCACUUAACUUUAGUUGACUGCGUGGGUCCUCAUCUUUGAAACCUCCAGAGCUCAAUCUUGAUGAAGCGGGGCUAAGGACUUGGAAAGAACCUAAUUUCUUACCUCACCCAGGCUGUGCUCUGAAAAUGACAUUUUAAGAUGCGUCCCAUUCCUUUUGCUUCCAACAAAUCAUUCCUCCCCUAUCUAAGCCCCCCUCUGCCUCAUUAAGGAUGAAGGCCCGGUGAGCAAGUUCUUACUCUCUUCUAGCACAUUAGCAGAGGCCACUCAAUGUUAAUUACCAUCACAUGGGAUUACUGGUCUCCUCACCCUGAUUUUUCUGAGUUGCCUGCCUCAUUGACUGCCUCAGCUAAAAGACCAAAGGUUGAAUAGUUCCUUAGAGAUAAAAUACAAUUUGGGGCUAGUGUAGAGGGAGGAAUCUGGGAAGAGAAAAAUUAACACUCUGUUUUCAAGGUGGUCAAUGUAUUUAAACCUUUCCAACUUAAAAAUCAGAGUUAAAUUAUACACGUUGUUUAUAGAUACCUAUCCAUAUACUUCAACUGUAAAAUUAUGAUGAAGUAAGGGAAAAGAUAAUUUAAUAUCUAAUCUGGUUGUGAUUCUCCUGAGCAUAGCUUGUAAUAAACUUCCUUAUGUUUGCUAAUUGGAUGGAUAUUUCCUCCACAAAUGAAUUGAAAGUGUGUUGGGUGGGUUAGCAGGACAUAAUAAAAACAUAAAACAAAAGCAGUGAACUUCUCGGUCAAACUAACCUCCUUCAAGAGAGCACAAAUCAUAAAGCAAAUGUAGUCAUUCCUUUUAGAGUUUGGAUUUCUCUAGUCCUCCUUUGGAACUAUUUUGCUAAUAGGGAAUUGGCUGAGACGUCAACUUCUCUCUGAUUUAUCAGGGCAUGGAAGUAUUAGGCAUUACAAGAGAGUCAAAUUUGAAUAGAUUUUUCCUGGUUUUAAAUUUGGAUACUCUUCCAGAAUCUGCUCUUCGCAUAUGUGUGAUCAUCCUUUCCUGUCUCAUAAGAGAUUGAACUUGGAGGCCAGAGCCUUUCUAGGGGACGGUUACAGAAGGGGAAUGGACAAUCCUCACCCUACCACCUGCCUCACUGGGAUUACAAUCCGCCCUCUUACAGGCACCUGUAAGAUAAAGAGGGGCCAAACUUGUGAGAACAAUCACCAUUUCCUGUUCUGCAGAUAGAAUUAUUGGGUGAAAGGUGCUAAAAGUAAGUCUACACAAUAAAUACAUGGUGCAUAGUCAGCCAUACUUGAAGGUGAAGUCAAGUAAAUGCCACACAACCAGGAUAUGGUAAGUGGAUGGAUAGCCGUGAUUUGAGGAAAGUUAAUUAUCCUCUCAGAGGCUCAGUUUCCCCCUAUAGAAGGCAGAGGUAGUAUUGAUUCUAUUUCAGUGCUUGAAAGAAUCUAAAAAGUUGUUCAAAGUCAUUAUGUGCUAAUAAUAAUUCCUAAGUCUUAGCAGCGAAAGUGUACUCACGUGAACACACAUGGAAAUGUGGUUGUUGGCUUGAUUGGACACGAGACACUGGAUAAGGGCAGUAGCCAACCUGGAGGGGAUUAAGGGAAAUGUUAUCAAAUUGGAAUUCUAAUAAACCCUUUAGGCUAGCUGCCUACCAUGUUGUCAAGAACAGAGGGGUGUGGAGGGGGGCAGGAUUCAUGUAGCCUUGAUGGCUACAUGAUUGCCAGUAGACCCAGAUCUUUGUGUAUGUGCGUCUUGUCACAACCCAUUCUGUUGGGUGUGUUCAUCCGGUGCCAGCUUCCCUUUACAAAUCCCCAGCCCUGUGUGGUGAAAGAUAGCUUAGUCAGUUCCAUAGCCACCUGAGCCCAGGCUAUAAAACAGCCAUAGGAAAAGCCUUUUCUGUCACUAUAGGGGCUGAGAGAGCAAAUUGAAUCGCGGGUGCCAUGGCAGCAAAAGCCAGGAAUUGAGGCGACCUGUUUAAUCUUGGCUCUUUGAUAACAGAUAUAGGAGAUAACAUUCAGAGUCUCCUUCCCCCAAGAUAAGAGCGAGUGGCAGGACACUUCUCGGGGAAAGUAGGAUUUCACAGUCCACCUCAGGGUGACUAUAAAAGGGAAUAUGUUCAUGCCCAAGGCCCCUGCUCAGGAUAGAAUAGAUAGCCUCUCUGCGGGGGGUGGGGGUGGCGUCGAGGAAGAAAAGCCCUUCCCAUUCUCUUCCUCACAGAAAGCUUUGUGUUUUUCCCUCCCACCACCCGGUCUGCUCUGGCUGCCAGCCUGCCGCCAGUGUUCUGCCUUCGCCUUCCAUUUAACCUUCACUGGGGCUGGAGAGAUAGACAGGAAGCAGUCAUGCACCCCGCUGCCCCUGCCAUUCCUCCUUUUGUAGCCUGAUGAAAGCGCUAUGUCCAAGAAUAAUGUAGUUAGAGGUCUUUCACGCAGAGCUGGUUUCUGAAUUGCUGUUCUAGCUUGUGAUUGGGAACUUGGUAUAUUACUCUGAUGCCUGUGCCCGAGCCAGUCACAAAAUGAUAAAGACUUGGGAUAGUUUUGUAGUUAGGAAUAUAGGGCUCUGUAGCCGUAUGGCCUGGUUACAAAUCCCACCUCUGUCAUUAUUGGCUGUGUGACCUUAGACAAGUUAACUGACUUGUCUGUUUUAGUUUUUUUUUUUUUUUUUUUUUUUUUUUCCCGCCUUAGGAUCUGCCUUACAGAGUUGUGAGGAUUGAAUGAAUUAAUUCACACAAAGGUUUAGAAGAGAGUACCUGACUUAUAGCACUUGCUGCAGGGACAAAUCCGAAGUGUCCAUGAUGGAGACAGGGAACACUUACACUCUACUUUGCUGGAGCUGGGGGAGUAUGCCACCACGGGCUCGCUAGAACAUUUUGGGUAAUUAGUAAGCGUUAACAGCAUUGGCAUUAUCCCUUUAGUUACAUUAGAUGUCAGGGAGUUAAUUCUUGACCAUUUAGAUUGCAGGCCUCUGAAAUUAAAAUGCAUCUAAACUCUAUGGUGGCCCUGAUCUCAAAGAGAUUCAGCCAGAAAAUCUGCCCAGAUAUCCAUCUGUCGAUUACCUACCUACCAACUUACAUCACUAUCUUCCUCUUUCUCCCUCUUUCUCUCUCACUCUUCUUUGCCCACAGAAAAGGAAAGGAAACAUGGGCAUUUCUUAGGUUCAUGAGUCAUGAACCAUUUGGUUGAGGGGCAGAUUUAUUUUCAGGGGCAAUCUAUUUAUUGCCUGAGGUGGUUUGAUUGUAGACUCUAGCAUUUGUGUCUCAAUGGUGAGAAAUUCCUCUUCUCUUAAGCAAACACCUUUUAAGCUGCAGUCCCUGACCAGGGCCCAUUCUCUUGGCUCUUUCUCUCCUGGUAGUGCCUCUAAUUCAGUUUUUAAGCUGCUUUGCUCUUGCAUGCUGGAAGGCAGAUGAUCUCAGCCUGGCACACACAGAAGCCUCUCUCCUCCCCUGGCCCAGCUCUUCCUUCCUCCAGGCGGGGCCAGGCCACAGAUGUGUGCUAAUGAGAGCUUCUCUUUG